rnacentral:rRNA from 1 species
UACGUAGGGGGCAAGCGUUGUCCGGAUUUAUUGGGCGUAAAGAGCGUGUAGGCGGCCAGAUAGGUCUGUUGUGAAAACUCGAGGCUCAACCUCGAGACGCCGAUGGGAACCAUCUGGCUGAGACGAUCGGAAGAGGAGAGUGGAAUUCCUGGUGUAGCGGUGAAAUGCGCAGAUAUCAGGAAGAACACCCGUGGCUAAGGCGGCUCUCUAGUACGGUACUGACGCUGAGACGCGAAAGCGUGGGGAGCGAACAGG